GCCGAAGUGGCGGAACUGGCAGACGCGCGGGUCUCAAAAACCCGUGAGGAUAAAACCUCGUGAGGGUUCAAGUCCCUCUUUCGGCACCA
rnacentral:tRNA from 1 species